rnacentral:rRNA from 1 species
GCUUAACACAUGCAAGUCGAGCGGAGUGAUGGUGCUUGCACUAUCACUUAGCGGCGGACGGGUGAGUAAUGCUUAGGAAUCUGCCUAUUAGUGGGGGACAACAUUUCGAAAGGAAUGCUAAUACCGCAUACGUCCUACGGGAGAAAGCAGGGGAUCUUCGGACCUUGCGCUAAUAGAUGAGCCGAAGUCGGAUUACCUAGUUGGUGGGGUAAAGGCCUACCAAGACCACCAUCUGUAGCGGGUCUGAGAGGAUGAUCCGCCACACUGGGACUGACACACGGCCCAGACUCCUACGGGAGGCAGCAGUGGGGAAUAUUGGACAAUGGGCCCAAGCCUGAUCCAGCCAUGCCGCGUGUGUGAAGAAGGCCUUAUGGUUGUAAAGCACUUUAAGCGAGGAGGAGGCUACUGAAAUUAAUACCUUCAGAUAGUGGACGUUACUCGCAGAAUAAGCACCGGCUAACUCUGUGCCAGCAGCCGCGGUAAUACAGAGGGUGCAAGCGUUAAUCGGAUUUACUGGGCGUAAAGCGCGCGUAGGCGGCUAAUUAAGUCAAAUGUGAAAUCCCCGAGCUUAACUUGGGAAUUGCAUUCGAUACAUGGUUAGCUAGAGUGUGGGAGAGGAUGGUAGAAUUCCAGGUGUAGCGGUGAAAUGCGUAGAGAUCUGGAGGAAUACCGAUGGCGAAGGCAGCCAUCUGGCCUAACACUGACGCUGAGGUGCGAAAGCAUGGGGAGCAAACAGGAUUAGAUACCCUGGUAGUCCAUGCCGUAAACGAUGUCUACUAGCCGUUGGGGCCUUUGAGGCUUUAGUGGCGCAGCUAACGCGAUAAGUAGACCGCCUGGGGAGUACGGUCGCAAGACUAAAACUCAAAUGAAUUGACGGGGGCCCGCACAAGCGGUGGAGCAUGUGGUUUAAUUCGAUGCAACGCGAAGAACCUUACCUGGCCUUGACAUAGUAAGAACUUUCCAGAGAUGGAUUGGUGCCUUCGGGAACUUACAUACAGGUGCUGCAUGGCUGUCGUCAGCUCGUGUCGUGAGAUGUUGGGUUAAGUCCCGCAACGAGCGCAACCCUUUUCCUUAUUUGCCAGCGAGUAAUGUCGGGAACUUUAAGGAUACUGCCAGUGACAAACUGGAGGAAGGCGGGGACGACGUCAAGUCAUCAUGGCCCUUACGGCCAGGGCUACACACGUGCUACAAUGGUCGGUACAAAGGGUUGCUACCUAGCGAUAGGAUGCUAAUCUCAAAAAGCCGAUCGUAGUCCGGAUUGGAGUCUGCAACUCGACUCCAUGAAGUCGGAAUCGCUAGUAAUCGCGGAUCAGAAUGCCGCGGUGAAUACGUUCCCGGGCCUUGUACACACCGCCCGUCACACCAUGGGAGUUUGUUGCACCAGAAGUAGGUAGUCUAACCGCAAGGAGGACGCUUACCACGGUGUGGCCGAUG